CAGACCGUGAACGUGUCAUCUUGCCUGCCACUGCGCCAAGGAACUUCAACUAAAGAGUGCCUCCGGUCGCCUCGGAAACGGCGUGCGUGCCGGGGGCGAAUCUUGUGCAAAACCAUAACGACUCUCGGCAACGGAUAUCUCGGCUCUCGCAUCGAUGAAGAACGUAGCGAAAUGCGAUACUUGGUGUGAAUUGCAGAAUCCCGCGAAUCAUCGAGUCUUUGAACGCAAGUUGCGCCCGAAGCCAUCUGGUCGAGGGCACGUCUGCCUGGGUGUCACGCAUCGUUGCCCCCAACCCCAUCGCCUCUCCAAGAGACGAGGGCGGUCUGCGGGGCGGACAUUGGCCUCCCGUGAGCUUUCGCUCGCGGCUGGCCUAAAAGCGAGUCCUCGGCGACGAGCGCCACGACAAUCGGUGGUUGACAAACCCUCGUGUCCCGUCGUGCGCGGCUCGUCGCUCGUCUUGUGCUCUGUGACCCUGUAGCGUCGCGCUCGCGACUCUUCCAACGCGACCCCAGGUCAGGCGGGACUACCCGCUGAA
rnacentral:rRNA from 1 species